UAUUACGAUAGAGGUGCGGACUUUAAGAUUAACGACGGUGACCAUGGCUAAUGGGAUGACACGUUGUGAAAGGAAAGCUCGCCGAAGGAUUAUUGUUUGCCACCAGUUUUCCUGGGCUUACUGUUAAGAGCAGUAAGACUGUCAUCAUUUUUAUGAUGGAGUGCUAUCUAAAAC
rfam:Acetobacterium wieringae strain DSM 1911 ACWI_contig000039, whole genome shotgun sequence.